GAUGAACGCUGGCGGCGUGCCUAAUACAUGCAAGUCGAGCGAACGGACGAGAAGCUUGCUUCUCUGAUGUUAGCGGCGGACGGGUGAGUAACACGUGGAUAACCUACCUAUAAGGCUGGGAUAACUUCGGGAAACCGGAGCUAAUACCGGAUGAUAUUUUGAACCGCAUGGUUCAAAAGUGAAAGACGGCCUUGCUGUCACUUAUAGAUGGAUCCGCGCUGCAUUAGCUAGUUGGUAAGGUAACGGCUUACCAAGGCAACGAUGCAUAGCCGACCUGAGAGGGUGAUCGGCCACACUGGAACUGAGACACGGUCCAGACUCCUACGGGAGGCAGCAGUAGGGAAUCUUCCGCAAUGGGCGAAAGCCUGACGGAGCAACGCCGCGUGAGUGAUGAAGGUCUUCGGAUCGUAAAACUCUGUUAUUAGGGAAGAACAUAUGUGUAAGUAACUGUGCACAUCUUGACGGUACCUAAUCAGAAAGCCACGGCUAACUACGUG
rnacentral:rRNA from 1 species